rnacentral:rRNA from 1 species
AAACCGUAGGCGGCGUGCCUAUACAUGCAGUCGAGCGGACCGACGGGAGCUUGCUCCCUUAGGUCAGCGGCGGACGGGUGAGUAACACGUGGGUAACCUGCCUGUAAGACUGGGAUAACUCCGGGAAACCGGGGCUAAUACCGGAUGCUUGAUUGAACCGCAUGGUUCCAUUCUUAAAAGGGGGUUUUAACUUCCACUUUACAAUGGGACCCCCGCCCAAUUACUAAUUUGGGAAGGUACCGGUCCACCAAGGCAACAAUCCUAACCCAACCGGAAAGGUGGACCGGCCACCUGGGACUGGAACCCCGGCCAAAAUCCUACCGGAAGGCACCAUCAGGAAUUCUCCCCCAUGGAACAAAGUCCUACCGAACCACCGCGCCUGAAUGAUUAAAGGUUUCCGAAUCUAAAACUUCUGUGGUAAGGGAGAACAGGUCUCGUCCGAUAAGGGCGGUAACCUUGCCGGACCUUACCAGGAAAGCACCGGUUACUUCCUUGCCAGCAGCGCCGUUAUUACGUAAGUUGGCAGCCGUUGUCGGGAUUAUUGGGGCGUAAGCGCGGCGCAGGCGGUUCCUAAGUCCUGAUGGUGAAAGCCCCCGCUCACCGGGGAGGUUCAUUGGAAACUGGGGAACUUGAAUUGCAGAAGAGAAAAGUGGAAUUCCACGUGGUAGCGGUGGAAUGGCGAAAAAUGGUGAAGGACACCAGUGGCGAAGGCAAUCCUUUGGUCUGUAACUGACGCUAAGCCGCGAAGCGUGGGGAGCGAACAGGAUAAGAUACCCUGGUUAGUCCACGCCGUAACCGAUGAGUGCUAGUGUUAGAAGGUUUCCGCCUUUAGUUGCUGCAGCAAACGGCUUAACACUCCGCCUGGGGAGUACGGUCGCAAGACUGACACAAGGGGGAUAUGGCGGG